UCGGGAUCCGGUGAGAAUUAAGAGUUAUGUGAGAAUAGAAGAAUAUAUGAGAAUAAAUCUACAACCGUUAGAUCAUUAAAAACAUAACGGCUGCGAUUUGCCCAGCAGUAAUAACAAAACCCACAUAUUUUAGCGGCAACAACUCAAUCGAGAGCAUGAAGCCGUGAACAGUACUUUCACUGAGAAAAAAAGUCGAAAUUUCAUACCUCUCAUCCUCUACGAUUGAUUACAAUCAGGGAGAUAAAGAGGUUAGUACAAUCACAAGUACAAGGAGCUUUCAUACGGCCAGACUCUGCAUUCUACCCCUUUCUUUCAGAUUUUGAGUUGGGGUUGAAGAAAGAAUUCAAGGUAACCUCAUGCUGCCAAGUAUUGUUUUUACAGAGAGAUUAAUUUGAAGAUUUCAUGGAAACUCAACCUAUGAUUAUGGAAGACGCUAAUCAACAUACUCCAACAACACAAGUAGCAGGUAAAUGAUUGGCUUUCUCCUAUAUGAGAAUAAGAAUUUCAAUCAUAGAUGUUUAUCAAUUUCCAAAUUAAAAAUUUCUCCUAUAUGUUAGUUUGUGACUUUUUGAUGACUAUUAUGCUAGUUUAGCACUAUA